rnacentral:misc_RNA from 1 species
AAUUUCUGCAUACACCUGACGAAGAUUUCUAUUAAAUCUGGGUCAAAGUGGCUAAAUCUUCAGACUUAAUAUUUAAAUGACGUGUAUAUUGCACAAGAUGGACAAGAUGGAAACCUAUAUACUCAUAUUAAUAUUAGCAAGCUUGAUCCACGGGGUGCCGGCACCAGGGCAUACAAGAAUGUGCCGAAACUGCCCUCAUCUAGUAAAGGUCCAUCUGAAUGUAAGGAGAUACACCACUGUCAACAGUUUUGUAUAACCGAAGUGUAUUAUUUACAUGGAGAAAACUGGUUGAGAUACGGUUGUGGAGGAGGUGCACAUUCUUCUGAACUUGAAUGUGAGAAAUUGGAUCAUCACCACCCUCACGGACACGAGCAUGGACCAGGGCAUGAACACGGAUAUGCCCACCCUGUGUGCAGAAAAUGUCAUUACGACUUUAGCUCCCAACAAGAUUCAUGCUCUCAGUACUUUUUAACAACGACACAUAUACCCGUACAUCCAGUGACCAUGCUCCAACAACAGUGGUUCAGUCACAAUGUCAGUGGUUAUUACAAUGUACAGCUGCUCCAGCAAUAACAAAAGCAUCUUCUGCACAAACAACAACAACACCGACAACAACAACACCGACAACAACAAGAACGACAACAACAACACCGACAACAACAAGAACGACAACUACGUCGACAACACACGUUACAGUUCCUGCAACAGCUCAACAAAAUAUAAUGGUCACUGCCACCAGUAUGAAGACGACGUCACAACCUUGCGUGGAUCUAGAUGACGUCACAUUCACCUGCGCAGACAUGGCAUAUUAUGGGUAUUGUUAUCCUGCCGCUGGUGCUGGCUACGCACUCGCUCAAAAAAGAUGUCGGAAAACAUGCAGAUUUUGUCCAUAGGAAACAACAACGGCGUCAAGCGAUUCCAGGAAUUUUAAUUGAAUUGAUUGUAUAAGAUUAUAUUUAUUAUAUUAAAUUACAAAUAUCAUUUUUGUAUUUAG